AUGAGUUGGAACAUUAGGGGAUUGAAUUCACCGGCAAGAAGAUCCACUGUCCAGGAGCUAGUUGAAUCUCACAGGACAUGCAUCCUAUGCCUUCAGGAGACAAAGCUUGAAUCGUGGUCUGCAGAAAUCGUGCGCGAGCUGGGUGGACACACCUUGGACGGCUGCGCAGUCCUGCCGGCUAUAGGCACCCGCAGCGGCGCGGCAAUCUUGUGGAACAAGCAGCUGCUGGAUCUGACCACGCACGAUGUUGGCGUCUUCUCAAUCAUGGCCAAGGUUUCAGUUAUUCAGAGCAGCUGCUCGUUCUGGUUGACGAUGGUGUAUGGCUCUGUCGACGACGCCCUCAAAGACUCCUUCCUAGCAGAACCGGUUCAUGCGGCUCCACCGCCGGGACAUCCAUGGCUGAUCAAUGGAGAUUUUAACAUCAUCUACGAAGCCCGAGACAAGAGCAACCUCAAUAUAAACAAAAGGAUCAUGGGGCAGUUCAGGAGAGCGAUAGACUCAGCGGGUUUGAAGGAGAUCAAAUGCAAGAACAGGCGGCUCACCUGGACAAACGAGAGGGAAAAUGCGACGAUGGUGAGCAUCGACGAGGUGUUCUGCAACACGGAAUGGGACUACCUCUUCCCCUCGCACAUGCUCAUGGCCGCGUCAACUGCCUGCUAUGACCACUGCCUGCUAUGA
rnacentral:rRNA from 1 species